rnacentral:rRNA from 1 species
GACGAACGCUGGCGGCGUGCUUAACACAUGCAAGUCGAACGGAAAGGCCCUGCUUUUGUGGGGUGCUCGAGUGGCUAACGGGUGAGUAACACGUGAGUAACCUGCCCUUGACUUUGCGAUAACUUCAGGAAACUGGGGCUAAUACCGGAUAUGAGCUCCUGCUGCAUGGUGGGGGUUGGAAAGUUUCGGCGGUUGGGGAUGGACUCGCGGCUUAUCAGCUUGUUGGUGGGGUAGUGGCUUACCAAGGCUUUGACGGGUAGCCGGCCUGAGAGGGUGACCGGCGACAUUGGGACUGAGAUAAGGCCCAGACGCCUACGGGAGGCAGCAGUGGGGAAUAUUGCACAAUGGGCGGAAGCCUGAUGCAGCAACGCCGCGUGCGGGAUGACGGCCUUCGGGUUGUAAACCGCUUUCGCCUGUGACGAAGCGUGAGUGACGGUAAUGGGUAAAGAAGCACCGGCUAACUACGUG